rnacentral:sRNA from 1 species
UUCUAGUGUGGUGCGGAUAUGAUCGAAC